rnacentral:lncRNA from 1 species
ACACUAAUAUCAUGCUCAAAUACAUAUAUCUUAAGCCAAAAUCACUUUAAUAACACAUAGGCAAAAGUCCUAAUUUUUAUUAAACUAAGCUCUUUUGAAAAUAUCACUAAUCAUGUAUAACCUAUUGAUCAAAUCAUAGAUCUAACAUCCUAGGUUACCAAUUAGCACAAUUGAACAUCAUAAAACAAGAUCACAUAUAGAUACACAUGUAUGUCAUCUUCUUCCUCAAACUAACACUUUUCAUUUUUCAUUUCUCAACCUCAAGCUUCAAUCUCAUCCAUCAUUAAUCAUCUAGAUCAUCUCAUAAACUCAAAUCCAUCAUCAAUACAUCAAUUGAUUCAUAGGAUCUCAACAUCCCAAUUUUAGGUAAACCAACCUAAUAGAAAAAUCUAUAUCUCAUGGCUAAUCAUCAAGAUAUUCAUAUAUAUUAACUCAAUAAUCAUCAAUCAUCAUAUAAAUCAUCGACUCACAAUUUCCCAAUUUUUUUUUUUG